UGCUGUAACUGCAUAGCUCUGGUGGCCUACAGCUCCGCCAGGGUUAGUGUUUGUCAAACAAUCUUGAUCCAUUUUUGAGUACUUUACUCAUCUAGUCCAAUCCUGCAGUAUGGAUAUACUGGUAGUUGGGGUCAAGAAGCAUGGGGUGUGGCUUUUAGCAAAAAAUAACAUUGAUAAACCCCUCUAGUGAAAUGUCCUAUGCUGGGUUAAGUGAAAAAACUGAAUUUGAUGCAAGGGGGAAGUUACAGUAGUACAUAAGGUAGAAAGCCAGCAAUCUAUCCAUUUCUUUACAGCCGUUUCUUCUUUUCUCUUCUUUCAUCUGUUUAUCAGGUAUCAUGUUUCUGAUUGUUCUUCAUGGCUUUAUGGCGCUAUCAAAAAUUGCAUGUUGAUAUAUCCUUAGUCUUUACCAUGUUCUUCUAUAUAUUGCAUUUGCAAAUUACAAUGAAUGAAUUUUACAAGUUUUCAUUGAAA